CAGCCGCCGCGGUAAUACGAAGGGUGCAAGCGUUACUCGGAAUUACUGGGCGUAAAGCGUGCGUAGGUGGUGGUUUAAGUCCGUUGUGAAAGCCCUGGGCUCAACCUGGGAAUUGCAGUGGAUACUGGGUCACUAGAGUGUGGUAGAGGAUAGUGGGAUUUCCGGUGUAGCAGUGAAAUGCGUAGAGAUCGGAAGGAACAUCUGUGGCGAAGGCGACUAUCUGGGCCAACACUGACACUGAGGCACGAAAGCGUGGGGAGCAAACAGGAUUAGAGACCCCUGUAGUCCCUGUCUCUUAUAC
rnacentral:rRNA from 1 species